CGACCGCUUCGAUCUGGUGGCCUGACGGGCGCAUCGGGACGUUUGGGGGCCGCAGCGCAAGCUGCGGCCCCGUUUUUUUG
rnacentral:sRNA from 1 species